rnacentral:rRNA from 1 species
GAGUACGGCCGCAAGGUUAAAACUCAAACGAAUUGACGGGGACCCGCACAAGCGGUGGAUGAUGUGGAUUAAUUCGAUGCAACGCGAAAAACCUUACCUACGCUUGACAUGCCAGGAAGUUUCCAGAGAUGGAUUCGUGCCCGAAAGGGAACCUGGACACAGGUGCUGCAUGGCUGUCGUCAGCUCGUGUCGUGAGAUGUUGGGUUAAGUCCCGCAACGAGCGCAACCCUUGUCAUUAGUUGCUACGAAAGGGCACUCUAAUGAGACUGCCGGUGACAAACCGGAGGAAGGUGGGGAUGACGUCAAGUCCUCAUGGCCCUUAUGUGUAGGGCUUCACACGUCAUACAAUGGUCGGUACAGAGGGUUGCCAACCCGCGAGGGGGAGUUAAUCCCAGAAAACCGAUCGUAGUCCGGAUUGCAGUNUGCAACUCGACUGCAUGAAGUCGGAAUCGUUAGUAAUCGCGGAUCAGCAUGUCGCGGUGAAUACGUUCCCGGGUCUUGUACACACCGCCCGUCACACCAUGGGAGUGGGUUUUGCCAGAAGUGGGUAGCUUAACCGCAAGGAGGGCGCUUACCACGGCAGGGCUCAUGACUGGGGUG